GACGAACGCUGGCGGCGUGCUUAACACAUGCAAGUCGAACGGAAAGGCCCUGCUUUUGUGGGGUGCUCGAGUGGCGAACGGGUGAGUAACACGUGAGUAACCUGCCCUUGACUUUGGGAUAACUUCAGGAAACUGGGGCUAAUACCGGGUAGGAGCUCCUGCUGCAUGGUGGGGGUUGGAAAGUUUCGGCGGUUGGGGAUGGACUCGCGGCUUAUCAGCUUGUUGGUGGGGUAGUGGCUUACCAAGGCUUUGACGGGUAGCCGGCCUGAGAGGGUGACCGGCCACAUUGGGACUGGGAUACGGCCCAGACUCCUACGGGAGGCAGCAGUGGGGAAUAUUGCACAAUGGGCGGAAGCCUGAUGCAGCAACGCCGCGUGCGGGAUGACGGCCUUCGGGUUGUAAACCGCUUUCGCCUGUGACGAAGCGUGAGUGACGGUAAUGGGUAAAGAAGCACCGGCUAACUACGUG
rnacentral:rRNA from 1 species